rnacentral:rRNA from 1 species
GUUUUCCUACGGGGGGCAGCAGUGAGGAAUAUUGGUCAAUGGGCGAGAGCCUGAACCAGCCAAGUCGCGUGAGGGAAGACGGCCCUACGGGUUGUAAACCUCUUUUGUCAGGGAGCAAGAACGGAUACGUGUAUCCGAGCGGGAGUACCUGAAGAAGAAGCAUCGGCUAACCCCGUGCCAGCAGCCGCGGUAAUACGGAGGAUGCGAGCGUUAUCCGGAUUUAUUGGGUUUAAAGGGUGCGUAGGCGG